rnacentral:misc_RNA from 1 species
ACUUUACAUAAUAUUCACAAACCAUGUUAAAUUAUGUAAAGUGUUUUAGAGAUAAAUUUAAAUUUUCAAUUUUCUUAAAACAAAUCGGGCUAAGGCCCACAAGCAAACAAACCCAGCUACGAGGAGAAAGAAGACGAUGAAUUGUCUGGAACAACGCCGCGCGCCGCCGCCGCCGCCUCCGCCUCGUUUCUCCCACCUGAGAAGAUGCUUAAGUUUCCUCAUCUGAACAUCACCAACAACUCUCCCUCCAGCAAGUAACUUCCAAAGAGACCAAUAAAAACCCUCUUAACCAAAAAACCACCUUCUCCGAUGAUCUACGGGAGAGUUGACGGUCAGUGCUCCUACAGCUCCUACGCUUUCAAGGGUCAGGCGGUCAAAAAA